AAAUAUAUUUUAAUUUCAAUUAUUGCGAGUGUUGUGGCUUAGAAACAAUUAGGCAGUUAAGAAUAAACAAGGCUCGGGCACUAUCAAACCGUUUUCCUAAAAAGCAAAAAGCUGCUUCUGCUGCAUCACAAGAUUUAUUUGAUGACUUUCAGGUUGAUAACGAAGAGUUGACGCUAAUCGAGGAUUCAUUGAUGAUUGAUGAUGCUUCUUCGGACAACAAGAAAAAA